AAUUAAUUACAAGUAACACAAUAUCUCCGAAAAAAAAAAUCACAAGUAACACAGGUGUUUUAUACAAGUUUUGCAUGGUGAUAAGACUCUGAUUAUUGGUUGGCCCUUCUGUGCUAUAGAGCGGUCAAUUACACAUUCACUUUUUGCUUAUUUUUUAUACCGCAAUGCAUUCCAUACCCCCGACAAUCCUCAAUCUUGCGCGUUGUCUAGCAGUUAUUUAGGCUAUCAUCGUGUCCGGCGUAUCCGCAGACACCGGCAUCGCCUGGAUGUACCAAUCGAAUUCUUGCUCACGGAAACAUAAACUCUUCUAGCGUUGGCUCCAUGUUUUAGUACUUCCAAGCUCUCGCGUUCUUCAAACAUGCUUCUACUAAGCUUUCAUCUGUGACGCUCGACGUCGGUUCUUGUUCGUCCUUCAAUCUCUGUAAUUCCCUCUUGGAUUCCUCGAUCUCUUCGGAGAGCUCCCUGAUCUCUUUGUCCAUUCUCAAGAUGGAGUUGUUAUCAUCCUGGAGAUCGGUGUAGUGAGUGCGCAUGACGACUUUUAGUCGGUCAAUUGCAAAUUGGAUUUUGAACCCCGAGAGGUGUAUGAACAUCAGGUACUUCCACCAGUUGUACAACAGCUCUUCAGUGACUUCGGCGACUUUUGUGUUAGCCAUGCUGU
rnacentral:lncRNA from 1 species